AUCUAUGGGCAUACCACCCUGAACGCACCUGAUCUCGUCUGAUCUCAGAAGCUAAGCAGGGUUGGGUCUGGUUAGUACUUGGAGGAGAGACUGCCUGGGAAUACUGGGUGCCGUAGGCU
rnacentral:rRNA from 1 species